rnacentral:rRNA from 1 species
CGGAGAGGGAGCAUGAGACACCCCUUCACAUCCAAGGAAGGCAGCAGGCGCGCAAAUUACCCCCUCCCUUCUACGUGUAGGUAGUGACAAUAUGUAACAAUAUACGGCUUUAUCGUCGUAUAAUUGGAAUGAGUACAAUUUAUAUCCCUUAACGAGGAACAAUUGGAGGGCAAGUCUGGUGCCAGCAGCCGCGGUAAUUCCAGCUCCAAUAGCGUAUAUUAAAGUUGUUGCAGUUAAAAAGCUCGUAGUUGGACCUUGGGCCUGGACGGGCGGUCCGCCUCACGGCGUGUACUGUCUUGCCGGGCCUUUCCUCUUGGGGAUCUGUUGUUUCGGCAGCAGGGAACCAGGACCUUUACUUUGAAAAAAUUAAAGUGUUCAAAGCAGGCUCGACCCCGGAAUAUAUUAACAUGGAAUAAUAAAAUAGGACGUGCGGUUCUUUUUUGUUGGUUUUUGGAAUCCCCCGUAGUGAUUAAUAAGGACAGCCGGGGGCAUUAACACUCACACGCUAGAGGUGAAAUUCUUGGAUUUUGUGAAAACUAACUUCUGAGAAAGCUUUUAUCGAGGAUGUUUUCUUUAAUC